UGCGGAAGGAUCAUUACCGAGUGAGGGCCCUCUGGGUCCAACCUCCCACCCGUGUCUAUCGUACCUUGUUGCUUCGGCGGGCCCGCCGUUUCGACGGCCGCCGGGGAGGCCUUGCGCCCCCGGGCCCGCGCCCGCCGAAGACCCCAACAUGAACGCUGUUCUGAAAGUAUGCAGUCUGAGUUGAUUAUCGUAAUCAGUUAAAACUUUCAACAACGGAUCUCUUGGUUCCGGCAUCGAUGAAGAACGCAGCGAAAUGCGAUAAGUAAUGUGAAUUGCAGAAUUCAGUGAAUCAUCGAGUCUUUGAACGCACAUUGCGCCCCCUGGUAUUCCGGGGGGCAUGCCUGUCCGAGCGUCAUUGCUGCCCUCAAGCACGGCUUGUGUGUUGGGCCCCCGUCCCCCUCUCCCGGGGGACGGGCCCGAAAGGCAGCGGCGGCACCGCGUCCGGUCCUCGAGCGUAUGGGGCUUUGUCACCUGCUCUGUAGGCCCGGCCGGCGCCAGCCGACACCCAACUUUAUUUUUCUAAGGUUGACCUCGGAUCAGGUAGGGAUACCCGCUGAACUUAAG
rnacentral:rRNA from 1 species